ACUGCGGAAGGAUCUUA
rnacentral:rRNA from 1 species